CUUCUAUUUCGCUGUCUUCGCACACCUCCCCACUCCUAAAAAGAGGCUGCGUUAACAAUAUAGCAGAAUAUUAUAUAUAUGGGCCACAUGAAUCAUCACAUCUAGAAUGGACCGCUGAUGGCAGUGGUGGAGGUAAAAAAACGAGUAGAAUGAGAGGCAAAUAAUAGGAAGAUCGUUUUUCCUCUGUUUACUGAAGUCUGAUUGGUUGUUGUUAAUCCAACAGUAGUGUAUGCUAUGACAAAAGAUUCUGACUAAAAGCGAGUACGCUGUUGCUUGCGUAAAAGAAAUGUUAAUGAAAUAUUAAUAAAAUUUAAUAAAAUAACAAAUUAUUGUAUUUUUUUGCAAAACGUCAGUAACCUCUGCAUCCAGUUUUCACAAGUUCCCAAAAAAUAAAGAUAGAAGAAACAAAUGGUUACAAGCAAUCAAUAUGAAUCAAGUUUCACAAUAUGCUCGGCUGUGCUCCAACCAUUUUAAAUCAUCAGAUUAUCAAGAAACAUUACGUGGACUAAAAGGGAGACUUAAAAACACUGCUAUUCCUUUUUUUAAAUUACUUCACACGAAAUCAAUUGUGAUAACAUAGCAUCAUCUAGUGACGAAGAAUUUCAUAUUGAAAUACAACAGAUAUUUGGAGAAUGACUACAUAACACAGUAAUCAAGUAAUUUUCAAUAUAAAAAUAUACCUAUGGUAUUUUCAGAAUACAUAUAAGAAACAAUCCGGUGAAAUUAAAAUAGAAGAAUGCAGUGUGGAAUGUAAUGAUGCUACAAAAGAUAAUUCUAACUCAUUGAAAAGAAAAUCAAUGGAAGAUGAAAAAAUAGACUUUCCUUUGAAACAUAUUAAACAUAUGAAGGAUAAUGUAUGAUAUUAAGUAUCUAGAAAUUCGGACGAAGCGACAAUGAUAUUAGACGUUGCAUUAGAAACAAUUGCAGAACAGGUAAAGAAAAUACAACAUUUGCAAGUGCAGGCAUGUAAACUAAAAAAACCGAGAGUUUGAUUGAGUUAAAUAAACAUUUACAUGACAAUAA